UGAUACUGAAAAAAGAAUUGAUGAAUUAAUAAGUAAUCAAAUAAGCAAUAAUUUUUUUUAGAAAUAGGUUAUUGCUUUCUCAAAUUCUUGUAAUUUCGAGCCAUAUUUUAUCGUUUGGAAACCUGGAUUUUUGUCGACUUUGCUAGACCCUGUUGGAAGUAAAACAGAUGAUCCUUAAGCAUGGAAGUCUGUAUCGAUCUGUUUGUACAAUAGCUUUUUCUUUGUUCCUACUUAUUUUUAGCUUGAUAAAUCCACUGUGACAGUAUUUUGGAUAUUUUCAUAUUUGUAAAAUUAUAGUUUGUUGAUUGCACCACCCUGAAGUAAAGAAAAGUAUAAACUAAAAAAAGAAGUAUUGUUAAAAAAAAAAUGUUGUUAUUCAGUGUUUUAUAAUUGCAACAGAUAUAAUAUACAUUGUUUUCUAUAGAUUUGAUUGAGUUUCACAAACCAUUUUUUAAAAAAAUGUUUAUCUACUAUUUUAAUACUUUUUUUCUUGUGCUUGAAUUGUGUAAACAUGUUUGUUGUCUAUUUCUUUAUUAUGAAGGAAAAUUAAAUUAAAAUUAGAAUUAAAGAAACAAAAUCUUCUAUCAAUAUGUACAAUUUUUUCAUUUUCCGUUUUCUUUUUAUUUCAUUUUUAUUAUUUGAAUGUGAAACAAUAUUUCCUAAUUUCACAAACAAAAAGAUCAACAAAAUGGAGUUUAUCAUACAUAAUCCACAAGCCAUCCACAUCAAACAACUUAGAGGAUAAACUAGAGGAAAAAAAAAACCAUCUUUGAUUGGCUGCAUACCUCAUUAUUUUCAUCAAAAGUGAAACAAUAACUCAACUUUAAAUCAAUCAGAAAUCAAAAUCUACAUGAAGCACUAACAAAUAAUUGCUAUUAGGCACUUUCUUGUGCCCAACCGCAUGGGUUUCCACUAGUAGUUCAUCAUCCACACACACACACACACACACACAAAAAAUAUAUAUAUAUAUAUAUAGCAUUUGCAGGGAGAUUGAUAAAAUCCGGGUAUGUAUGUACGGCACCCAUGUAGCACAAACAAUACAACAAAUUAAUUCGUUCUAGAAAGCUCGGUGUGAAUAGAGACCAGAACUUACAAUGCAUGCAAAAAGCAAGCAAGGGAAGCUUCGAG
rnacentral:lncRNA from 1 species